UACAGAGACUGCAAGCGUUAUUCGGAUUCACUGGGCGUAAAGGGUGCGCAGGCGGCCAAGCGUGUCAGGUGUGAAAUCCCGAGGCUUAACCUCGGAACUGCGCCUGAAACUACUUGGCUAGAGUACUGGAGAGGGUAACGGAAUUCACGGUGUAGCAGUGAAAUGCGUAGAUAUCGUGAGGAACACCAGAGGCGAAGGCGGUUACCUGGACAGUUACUGACGCUCAGGCACGAAAGCGUGGGGAGCAAAAGGG
rnacentral:rRNA from 1 species